GGCAUAAUGAGUCUAGUUAGUCUCUGUUUCAUUUUGCUUGGUUGUUUAGAUUCUUGUGUUGUGCUUUUCAUUUUGUGUCAUUACUCAUUAGGAUCUGUAUUUCCCUCCAGGGAUCAUUUUUGUAUUGCUUGAAAAUUUCAUCAGUAUCUUUUCUUUUAGUUCUUUGUUUUGUUUUCUUUAUUGCUUAGGAGUUUGAUUGAAUAGACUUAGUUCUCAGCUAUUUCCCUCCAGGGAUCAUUUUUGUAUCGCUUGAAAUUUUCAUCAGUAUCUGUUCUUUUAGUUCUUUGUUUUGUUUUCUUUAUUGCUUAGGAAUUUGAUUGAAUAGACUUAGUUUUCAGCAUAAGAAUUCCCUACUGUAUUAAUAAAGACACGAUCGCAUGAAGUAUUUGAUCUUUUGUAGUCAUUGUGGAGGUUAUUCAAGUGAAAUUCUAAAGCCUUGACAAGCUGAAGAUUGAUUAUCUGAAUGGUAGUAUCAGCAAGUCAAGCGGCAUUUAAUACCUAGGUCAUAAAGGAAGCUAGCAAUUUGCAUCUCAAAUCCCUUGACAAAUAAGGCCAAAAUGUGCUCUGUUUAAGUACUAGUUGAUAAAUCUCCUAAAAUGCACUUCCUUGUACCUAAAUAAAGUCAUUUAGGUAUUUGAGUGUCAAUUUUUUAUUUGACUAUCAAUAUGUAUAUAGAAGUAUUUGUAUUCACUACAUGAGAGUAAUUUUUGCACCAAGUGCCUUGCACUUCCAUAAAGCUAUUUUCUAGUUUUACUAUAUUAUGAUAGAGAUUAGUUAUCAAACCAGCAUCUUGGAGACCAUGAGAAGCCAACUAUUUUUUUUAAUGGAAAACAGUGAGGGAAGCCCUCACUGCAAGCUUUUAUUAACCAACAAGCAACACAACCAAAUAAACAACGCAAAAAGGGAAAAAAGGAAAAGCAAGAAAAAAAGAAGAAAGAAGAAAAGGACAAGAGGGAACGCUAUACAAAGAUCUGUAGCCAGUCUAAGACCAUAAACUUAAGAGUAGGGUUCAUUCAGUGCGAUUGGGUAAAAGCUGUAUCCUUGAAGGAUUCCUUCCAUCUGAGGAAGUUUGCCGAGGACCUAUUAAAGAUCAUGGCAUUCCGCUGUUUCCAGAUCUCCCAUGCAGUGAUAGAAAACACUUCCAUGAAGAACUUAUGCUGGAAAUUGCUUCUGGCAUCCUGGAUCAUGUGAAAGAAAUUCAGCUCUUGAUGCCAAGCAAGACCAAUUGCUGUCCAACAUCUUCUGCUGAAAUUGCUCUCUUAGAACAGGUUUCUAGAGUUGAGACGAUCCUUGAAGAGCAGCCAGGUGAAGACUUUUAUUUUUGCAGAAUACUUGGAGUUCCAAAUCCAAAGAAAAAGGGUUGGCGGGACCAAGUUUUUAAAAGGCAGAUCAUAGAACUUCUUAGUCGAAUAGGCUUGAGAACCCCAGCAGAAGAUUCAGCUAUCAUUCUCAGAGUUCUUCUAUCGAAUUCUAUUCAGAUGGACUUGCAACUCUUGUAAUUCCUGCUGCGCUUGGCCGGAGAGAGGUGUAUGGAAGUGACUGGUAAUAUCAUUUCCAGCUAAGAACUGGGCUAUGGAGAUAUUUUGAUUGA